CCUACGGGAGGCAGCAGUGGGGAAUAUUGGGCAAUGGGCGCAAGCCUGACCCAGCAACGUCGCGUGAAGGAAGAAGGCUCUCGGGUUGUAAACCUCCUUUCUGAGGGACGCAGAAAGUGACGGUACCUCCGGAAUAAGCCACGGCUAACUACGUGCAAGCAGCCGCGGUAAUACGUAGGUGGCAAGCGUUCUCCGGAUUUGUUGGGUGUAAAGGGCGUGUAGGCGGGAAAGCAAGUCAGAUGGGAAAAUUCAGGGCUCAACCCUGAGCCUGCAUUUGAAACUGUUUUUCUUGAGUGCUGGAGAGGCAGGCGGAAUUCGGUGUGUAGCGGUGAAAUGCGUUGAUAUCCGGAGGAACACCGAUGGCGAAGGCAGAUUGCUGGACAGUAACUGACGCUGAGGCGCGAAAGCGUGGGGAGCAAACAGGAUUAGAUACCCUUGUAGUC
rnacentral:rRNA from 1 species